GACGAACGCUGGCGGCGUGCUUAACACAUGCAAGUCGAACGGAAAGGCCCUGCUUUUGUGGGGUGCUCGAGUGGCGAACGGGUGAGUAACACGUGAGUAACCUGCCCUUGACUUUGGGAUAACUUCAGGAAACUGGGGCUAAUACCGGAUAGGAGCUCCUGCUGCAUGGUGGGGGUUGGAAAGUUUCGGCGGUUGGGGAUGGACUCGCGGCUUAUCAGCUUGUUGGUGGGGUAGUGGAUUACCAAGGCUUUGACGGGUAGCCGGCCUGAGAGGGUGACCGGCCACAUUGGGACUGAGAUACGGCCCAGACUCCUACGGGAGGCAGCAGUGGGGAAUAUUGCACAAUGGGCGGAAGCCUGAUGCAGCAACGCCGCGUGCGGGAUGACGGCCUUCGGGUUGUAAACCGCUUUCGCCUGUGACGAAGCGUGAGUGACGGUAAUGGGUAAAGAAGCACCGGCUAACUACGUG
rnacentral:rRNA from 1 species